rnacentral:rRNA from 1 species
GAUGAACGCUGGCGGCGUGCCUAAUACAUGCCAGUCGAGCGAACGGACGAGAAGCUUGCUUCUCUGAUGUUAGCGGCGGACGGGUGAGUAACACGUGGAUAACCUACCUAUAAGACUGGGAUAACUUCGGGAAACCGGAGCUAAUACCGGAUAAUAUUUUGAACCGCAUGGUUCAAAAGUGAAAGACGGUCUUGCUGUCACUUAUAGAUGGAUCCGCGCUGCAUUAGCUAGUUGGUAAAGUAACGGCUUACCAAGGCAACGAUGCAUAGCCGACCUGAGAGGGUGAUCGGCCACACUGGAACUGAGACACGGUCCAGACUCCUACGGGAGGCAGCAGUAGGGAAUCUUCCGCAAUGGGCGAAAGCCUGACGGAGCAACGCCGCGUGAGUGAUGAAGGUCUUCGGAUCGUAAAACUCUGUUAUUAGGGAAGAACAUAUGUGUAAGUAACUGUGCACAUCUUGACGGUACCUAAUCAGAAAGCCACGGCUAACUACGUG